UAGGGAAUCUUCCACAAUGGACGCAAGUCUGAUGGAGCAACGCCGCGUGAGUGAAGAAGGCUUUCGGGUCGUAAAACUCUGUUAUUGAAGAAGAACGUGUGUGACAGUAACUGGUCAUGCAGUGACGGUAUUCAAUCAGAAAGUCACGGCUAACUACGUGCCAGCAGCCGCGGUAAUACGUAGGUGGCAAGCGUUGUCCGGAUUUAUUGGGCGUAAAGCGAGUGCAGGCGGUCUUUUAAGUCUGAUGUGAAAGCCUUCGGCUUAACCGAAGAAGGGCAUCGGAAACUGGGAGACUUGAGUGCAGAAGAGGAGAGUGGAACUCCAUGUGUAGCGGUGAAAUGCGUAGAUAUAUGGAAGAACACCAGUGGCGAAGGCGGCUCUCUGGUCUGUAACUGACGCUGAGGCUCGAAAGCGUGGGUAGCAAACAGGAUUAGAUACCCUGGUAGU
rnacentral:rRNA from 1 species